AUGAUGGGUAGGGGAGCUUCCCAUACGGGUUGAAGCAUGACCGUAAGGACAUGUGGACAGUAUGGGAGUGAGAAUGUUGGCAUGAGUAGCGAGAUGUGGGUGAGAAUCCCACAGGCCGUAAACCCAAGGUUUCCAGGGGAAGGUUCGUCCGCCCUGGGUUAGUCGGGACCUAAGCUGAGGCCGAAAGGCGUAGGUGAUGGACAACAGGUUGAUAUUCCUGUACUACCGAUAACCGUUUGAGAGAAGGGAUGACACAGUAGGAUAAGCUAAGCACACUGUUGGUUAUGUGUGCCCAAGCAUUGAGGCAGUCAAAGUAGGCAAAUCCGCUUUGAUAAUGCUGGGAUGUGAUGGGGAGCGAAAUUUAGUAGCGAAGUAGCUGAUUUCACACUGUCAAGAAAAGUCUCUAUCGAGGUUAAAGGUACCCGUACCGCAAACCGACACAGGUGGGUGAGGAGAGUAUCC
rnacentral:rRNA from 1 species